rnacentral:piRNA from 1 species
UACAUGCUUAACAUUACGCCC